rnacentral:rRNA from 1 species
AUGGCGGCGGCGGCGGCGGCGGCGGCGGCUGCGGCGUGCCGCAGGGCCGUCUCCUACACCCUGCGCGGUCCGCCGGCCGAGAGCCUCGCCGCAACGGCAGCUGCGGCCGCCACCGGCGACCAGUUCGUGGACCUGCUCGACGCCAACUUCAACAAGCCUGCCCCGACGCCGCCGGCGAAGACGUGCACGGAGAACAACUCCCCGACGUUCGCCACCUCGGGUGACCCCUGCCUCGACUUCUUCUUCCACGUCGUUCCCGACACCCCGGCCGAGACCGUGUCAUCUCUCCUCGCAAACGCCUGGGCCGCCGAGCCUACCACCGCGCUCCGCCUCGCCUGCAACCUCCGUGGCGUGCGCGGCACCGGCAAGUCCGACCGGGAGGGGUUCUACGCCGCCGCGCUCUGGAUGCAUGGCUCCCACCCCGCCACGCUCGCCCUCAACGCGCGCCCGGUGGCCGAGUUCGGAUACCUCAAGGACCUCCCCGAGAUCCUCCACCGCAUCAUCCAUGGCGGUGUCUCCACCACCGCCAGCACCCCAAAGAAGCAGUGGAGCGAAGACUCGGAAGAGUCCAUGUACGGGGGUACGAGCGAGGCGCGCAUUGCUGCCAGCCUGAAGCGCGACCAGGAGGAGGCCGCCCAGGCCGCCGUCGAGCGCAGGAAGAAGCGCGCGGAUGCAGCGGCGAGAGCCGUCGAGAGGUACGCCCGGGACCCGAACUACCGCCUCCUGCACGACAUGACGGCCGACGUGUUCGCCGCCCUACUCGCUGAGGACAUGAAGAAGCUCUCGGAUGGCAACAUCGACCUCUCGCUUGCCGGAAAAUGGUGCCCGUCGAUCGACAGCUGCUACGACCGCUCCACGCUCAUCUGCGAGGCCAUCGCGCGCCGCCUCUUCCCCAAGGGCUCGGCGCCCGAUCUUCCCGAGGACUUGCCGGACGCGUACUAUGCCUACCGCGCGCGAGAGCGCCUCCGCAAGGACGCGUACGUGCCGCUGCGCCAUGCCCUCAAGCUCCCCGAGAUCUUCAUCUCGGCGCGCGCGUGGGGCGAGGUGGUGUACACGCGCGUGGCCUCCGUCGCGAUGAAGAACUACAAGGACCUCUUCCUCGAGCACGACGAAGAUCGUUUCAACAGCUACCUCGCCGACGUCAAGUCCGGCAAGGCGAAGAUCGCGGCGGGCGCUCUGCUGCCGCACGAAAUCCUGAAGUCCGCCUACGACGACGAUGGAGCCGCGGACCUGCAGUGGAAGCGGAUGGUUGAGGACCUGCUGGCGCUGGGCAAGCUCAACAACUGCCUCGCCGUCUGCGACGUGUCGGGCAGCAUGAACGGCCUCCCCAUGGACGUAUGCGUCGCGCUCGGCCUCCUCCUCUCCGAGCUCUGCGACGAGCCAUGGCGCCACCGCGUCAUCACCUUCAGCGGGCAGCCGCAGCUGCACCACAUCUCCGGCGACACCCUCGCGGAGAAGACACAAUUCAUACGCGAGAUGCAAUGGGACAUGAACACCGACUUCCAGGCGGUGUUCGACCAGCUCCUGCGCGUGGCCGUCGCCGGCAAGGUCCCUCCGGAGCGCAUGGUGAAGAAGGUGUUCGUGUUCAGCGACAUGGAGUUCGACCAGGCGUCGUCGAGGCCGUGGGAGACCGACUACGAGGCGAUCACGAGGAAGUAUUCUGAGGCCGGGUACGGCGACGCCGUGCCGCAGAUCGUCUUCUGGAACCUGCGCGACUCAGACUCGGUGCCGGUGACGGCGCAUCAGAAGGGGGUGGCGCUCGUGAGCGGCUUCUCCAAGAAUAUGGUGAAGCUGUUCCUCGAGGGCGAAUACAUCCUGUCACCGAGGGCCGUCAUGGAGAAGGCCAUCGCUGGGCCGGAGUACCAGAAGCUCGUUGUGUUCGACUGA